rnacentral:rRNA from 1 species
UUGGGGAGCAUGGGUUUAAUUCGAUGCAACGCGAAGAACCUUACCUACUCUUGACAUCCAGAGAACUUUCCAGAGAUGGAUUGGUGCCUUCGGGAACUCUGAGACAGGUGCUGCAUGGCUGUCGUCAGCUCGUGUUGUGAAAUGUUGGGUUAAGUCCCGCAACGAGCGCAACCCUUAUCCUUUGUUGCCAGCGGUCCGGCCGGGAACUCAAAGGAGACUGCCAGUGAUAAACUGGAGGAAGGUGGGGAUGACGUCAAGUCAUCAUGGCCCUUACGAGUAGGGCUACACACGUGCUACAAUGGAAA